CGCAAGACAAGCAGGCACGUACCCGCUUGCAGACUGUCUGGAGUCUGUCUGAAAUUGAUCAAAUUGGAGAUGGAGUUUUGCAUCUGUAUGUACAUUUACAAAAAGCCGCCAGUUGGAAAUGGGAUUUUUUGGUUCGCUCUCCUCCUCAAACGUCUUCGCCCACGAGUCGCCAAGCGAAGCCAAAGAUAUUUUACAGAUAAACGCUGUGAAAGUUUUUUCUUCUGCAGUCGAGCAGCAGACAGCUCUUUAUGCACAGGAGAUCAGCCGUCAGCCCUGGAGUUCAAGAGGAGGGCAUCAUCCAGAUGGCAGUCUGCACAGCUCAGAAAGGCCUUUUCCCAAAUGAAAAGGAUUGGAAUCGCAACUAGAAAGGACAUCCAUGGUCUCCUGCAGCCUGUCAUGCCUUCAUGUCUUCAACGCUGGAGUGUUUCCGCCUAAAUGGUCUGACUGCCAUCUCAUAGCAACUCUAUUGCAGAGCAGCCCACAUCCCAAACUGCAGUGAGGAGAAUUUUAAGGUAAAUGUCCAAAUCCUCUAUUUUUAAGUCUUCCUACUCUGUGUCUGUGUGUGUGUCUCCGUCUCCUCCACUCCACAGUGUAGAGAGCUGGUGGUGGACUAGGAGGAAGAUGUCAUGCUAAGGAUGGUUUUGGUGAUGUUGCUGCUGCUGUUGCAGCAUCGAGCUCUCACUUUGUGCCUCUGUCAGUUAUGAUGCGUAGCCACACAGUGAGUGACAGGCCAAUCCCCGGGAGAGCAGGGGGCCUGAGGUGAGUCAGAUGUAUCCUUGACCCUGUCUAGCUGUGUCGGCAAGCAACACAAACUCUGUAACAGAGGCCCAAAAUGGCAUGACUGUACAUUGUACAUCUUAAUUUAGUAUAUAGAAAGAGAACGUACCAAACACAACCAACUUGACUAUUUAUGUUGAAGAGAUCUGCUUUUCAUUACUAACUCCCUCAUCUUCUGAAUUAUGAAAUUAUAAUGCAGCAUCUCGCAUUACUGCACCUUUGUAUGUCGUUGCGUACAUUUGGUUUUCACUGUUUUUAGAACCUGUCUCAGACAUGAACCUGGAACUGAUUCUGGUAGAUUUUCAACAUAGUUUACUUUCGUGCACUUCAGAUGCGCUACUAUGGCUUUAAAGAAGUCGGAGAAAGGUAUUAUUAUUCCUGUGACAUUCUGUGGAGUCAGUUUUUCUUUGUAAAGCUUGUUUAAGUGAAGGUUUUGUUGUAAACCCCUUAUAACUGAAAUAGCUAGUAUUUUAAACGGACCUCUUUCAGAGUUUCAGGGAGCAUGCGAGUAGACGAUGGUACUAAGUUAACUUGAGAAAACCUUCAUUCAGGUCUUUACAUUACACAUUAAAAUGGCCAAAGAAUCAGUAGUUUCCAAAUGCAACAUCACAAUGCUUGAAGGGGAUCUGACAGUUAGUGAAAUGUGUGAUUUAGAGUGAGAAAUGUUCUCCAUGCCUCGGCACUGCUUGUUAGAAUGAAUCGCUAAUCAGUGAUUAAUAAAUGUUUCUUCCAAUCCAAAUGCUGUGAUACAAUUGUGUAUUGCAACAUAAUAUCUGUUUUAUUUUUGCAAUUCUCAUCUUGUUUUUGGUUUGCAUUAUUAUUCAUAUAAGUCUACGUGUGUCUUAUUAUUGGUAUGAUUAUAUUUAGUGAUGAAUCAGUUGAUUCAUCUAUUAGUUGAAUGGAAAAUUACCAACAACAAUUCUGACGAUUAAAGUCAUUUAUCAACCAAUGCUUUUCUGUUUUAUGUCAUUAUACAGUUAAUAUAUUUGGAUUGUUUUACUGUUGGUAAAAAAAGCAAUUUGCUGAUGUUCCUCAUGUUCUGGUAAUUUAUGAUGGCCAUUUAUUUUUUUGUUAUUUCAUCCACUGGAUGAUAAAUGUAAACAAAAAAUGAAUCGUAAUGAGAAUAUUCGUCAAAUGCAGCUUUUUGUGUUUAAGUGUGUUAAAAAUAAACAAACAGUUGAAAUGUUAAGGGUUCAAAUUAUAACACUUUGGUUCGUGGAGGAAUAUCUGCUUUAAUUUGCUCAAAGGAAAACGGCUUGUUGCACCAAAACGAGUAACGUUCCCAACGCAGUCGUGAAUGUUGCAUUAAAAGCAGUCUGCAUAAAAGUCAGUGUAACGGAAACAAUCGCUGCGACCCAUGUGAUCUUUUUAAAUGUAACCAAAGUAGAUUUUAGAAAUAAAUACCAACUUUUUUUAUGUUAUCUAUUUUCUGUAGAAAUGUUACCUUUACUCUUUUAACGUUGUGUCCCGUAACUUGAGACAAAUCUUGUUGCGACAAACAUGAUUGGGUCAGUGUUGACCAGAAGCAACGCUGCUUAUACGCCACUUUAUAAACAACUAAGUGAAAUGCUAAAUGUUUAAAUGCAGCCCCUGAAGCACGAAACAUCCACUCAAGAAACCAGAUACGGUAUGAGGAGGAAAAAAGCACAUGGGGGGGAUUUGUUAUUCCUGAAUUUGGUGAAGUGAACAAAAAAUAAUCUUUAUUGAAAAAGUCUUUCAUUUCUUCAGAAGGGUCGCUCAAACACGGUGUGUGAAAUCAGAGUUGCCUGGGUGUGACUUUUCCAGAGAGCAUCCGCUUGCCAUUGUCUGCCUAGUCAACUUCUGCAGGCCCCAGUGCCCUGACUUCCAUACAUGAGAGAUCAAGGGUUACCAAGGUGCUUUUGAGAAAGGAGGGCUCAAUGUGAGGGGGGGACAAACCAGUCCACAAAAUACUCAUUUCCUUUGCAUGUUAGGAGCCCUAGUGGGGAUUCAGACGGGGUCACUGACACGGCCGCUGGGGUUGACUUUUUUCUUCUUCUUCCGUUCUCCCCUUGGUUGUUCUUAAUGAAAACUGUUGCUUGCCUUUCCGUCCGCUUGCAACAGCUUUCUGCCGCCCGUACAGUAUGAGGCUGGAUAAUGUGCCGAUUUUGCCCAAAAGAAAGUUUGUUCAGACUCUGUUCAUCCACACAGAGGUACCUCGUGUAGAAAAGGUAAAAGUAAUUCUGUCCACUUCUCUUUCUUGCCAGAAAGUUCAGUCACUGAGCCACGGCAUUAACUUGUAUUCUAACAAGAUUAAAAUAUAUUCGUCCUGGGGAUUAGCAUAGUUAGGUGUCCUUUUGCCUCUUUUUUCCCCCUGCACUGGUGCGGUGACAGUGGGCUUUGAUCUGUGUUGCGAGGCAAGCGUCCUGGCUUGGACCUAGCCAUUCGAGUGCCAAGUGUGAAAUUGGCCUGAUGUCAUCCCCAUUCUUCACCUUUUACAUCUUUCACCACUUUAAUUAUGUUUCCGCCACAAAGCCUAGGCACCUCCGAGCAGAUUCCACUCUGGCCGUAGGAAGCAUUUAGAAACUGGGUAAAUGACACAGUAGGGGAGGGGGAGGAUGGUAGGAGAGGUCAGAGCGGGAUGGGGCCCUUUUGUGCUUGGAGGUAGACGUUGACACUUCCCUGAUGUAUCCUCUGCUCACUUCCAUUUGUACAGCAUGGGAACUUGGGGAGACUGUCGACAAUGCGCCAGAAAAUCACUUUUAUGCCAGGCUUAUUUAUUUAUUUUUAUUCCAGAAGAGAUGUUUAUUUCCCUGUGUUAUCGACCCAGAUUACUGCUGAUGUAUACUGUAUGGUGUCUUCACAGCCAUGCGGGACUUCUUUGUCGUGUGAGGCCGUCGGACGGUCCGAACAAAGACUUCUCCUGGUGACUCGACCACCUGAAUCUCACUUCCGGCGAUGAGACGUAUUAUUGUCCGAUGAAGGCCGUUGGUUCCAUGAGCGUGUGCCCACGCAGACGCACGGCUUCAGCCAUUGUUCAUGCGUCGGUGUCCCCAUCUGAACUUCGGGGAGCGUCUCUGCCGAGGCGGCGGGCAAGGCUGACCGUCGCGCCGACAGUGCUGGGAGUCGCGCCGCUCGCCCCACCGCUAGUCACUGGCCGUUCGACAUGCCCUGCAAAGACUAGCGGUGCAAGUAUGGAAAUGCAGAUCAGGCAUUGUGGAGGAAACAUGCCUGGGAAUUGUUCGAGGCUUUCCCCUUGCAUAAUGCGGGGAUGCUUUCCCAAAUGUUUUAAUCUCAAAACUCAUGAAUUUGAUCCUCCGUGAAUGUGUUCCCGAACCGCCCAUAAAUGGAGUGGGCGUUUACAUUCAAAGGAUUGUCAUGCUAAGCAAAUUAAUAGUGUUUGUGAUUGUGUUUUUGUAUACUUGGCAACAUGUUCGACACUAUUUGAGCCGUCAGAAGCUCAGCAUUGAUUGAAGGCCUCUGUUGUAUUGUUUCUGCUUUUUUUUUAAUGGAAAUAUAUAAACUAUUUUCUUCACAUAAAGAUGCUCGAGACUUGUUUGUGUAUAAUAGUCAAGGUUUAUUUACUCUUCUUUUGCAGUGUUCAGGAGGCAGUUAAUUA